rfam:Schistosoma curassoni strain Dakar, Senegal genome assembly, scaffold: SCTD_scaffold0003158
GCACUGCCGAGGAGUCCCACAAUAGGACGAAACGGUCGUCCAGUGC